UACAGAGGUCUCAAGCGUUGUUCGGAUUCAUUGGGCGUAAAGGGUGCGUAGGUGGCGCCGUAAGUCGGGUGUGAAAUUUCGGAGCUUAACUCCGAAACUGCAUUCGAUACUGCGGUGCUUGAGGACUGGAGAGGAGACUGGAAUUUACGGUGUAGCGGUGAAAUGCGUAGAUAUCGUAAGGAAGACCAGUGGCGAAGGCGGGUCUCUGGACAGUUCCUGACGCUGAGGUGCGAAAGCGUGGGGAGCAAACAGG
rnacentral:rRNA from 1 species